GAUGAAGAACGCAGCGAAAUGCGAUAAGUAGUGUGAAUUCCAGAAUUCAGUGAAUCAUCGAAUCUUUGAACGCACAUUGCGCCCCUCGGUAUUCCGUGGGGCAUGCCUGUUCGAGCGUCAUUUACCCCUCAAGCACUGCUUGGUGUUGGGCGUCUGUCCCGCUUCGCGCGCGGACUCGCCCCAAAGGUAUUGGCAGCGGUCGUGCCAGCUUCUCGCGCAGCACAUUGCGCUUCUCGAGGCGGUCGAUCGGCGUCCACGAAGCUCACCUCCACCGUUUGACCUCGGAUCAGGUAGGGAUACCCGCUGAACUUAAGCAUAUCAAUAAGCGGAGGA
rnacentral:misc_RNA from 1 species